GUGGAUGUAGCGCAGUUGGUAGCGCGGCACCUUGCCAAGGUGCAGGUCGCGGGUUCGAAUCCCGUCUUCCACUCCA
rnacentral:tRNA from 10 species